rnacentral:tRNA from 3 species
GCCCGGAUGGUCUAGAGGUAUGAUUCUCGCUUCGGGUUGCUCUCGGGCCAUAUACUGGUCUUAAUAUGCGAGAGGUCCCGCGUUCGAAUCGCGGUUCGGGCC